AAAAUAUAUAUGCAUUCCCAUACAUUAUAUUGUGCUUAGGAUGUAGGUAGAAGGAUUUAUCUUCUGAUUUAUUUGACUGCACCUGAAUAUGUCUGGUCUUGGUGAUUUUUAGUUGCUGAUCUAGCACUGAUAAUUUGUUGACCUUUUGAAUUUAGUCAGUUAUGAAGUCUAAACAGAUAAUAAGAUAGGAAAAACUUAGGAUUUAUGUUUUGCCUUCAGUAGUGUUUUGAUAGUCAAGCUUAGAUGUACUAAUUCUUAUAUACUGGUGGAUUUCAAUUUAUGCAGCAAACACAUCAUGAGGAUUUCAAUUUGCCUGAAGAAUCCUGCCAUGGUUUUCUUCCUGAACUGCUGCAUAUUUAGAAUGAUCAAAUGAAUCAUUGGCUUAUGUAGAGACAAAAAUAAUGUAUAGGAAAAAAAAAUCAGAGGUAGUAGAAGCAUACAAGAAAUAUGUAGCAGAUAUAAGUGAUUUGGGACUCAUCAUCAAAUCUAAAAGUAAGAAGACGUUGUUGCAUAAUGAAUCUCGUGAAUGAGCAAACUAGCAUCACAUCAAGAUCUCAAGUCCAAAUAAGAUAUUUUUGAGGACACUGUAUCAUUUGCAACAUGUAUGCAUUUUAAAACUCUCAUUUUUGUUUUCAAUUUCACUUAAGUUUUGUUAUGUGGCUACAAAAUUCGAUUUUGAGUGAAUUUAAUUUGUAAAGUUGUUCUUACUUGAAAGUUGAAAGUAGACCAAAUUCCAAGUGUUGCAGCAUAAGCUGACAGGCGGCUAAGCAUGCACAUGCAUCAGUUGUGCAGUCACCACUAGAUGACGAUGCUUUAACACGAUGGCAGCGGGAUGUAGGCCAUGAUGAUGCAGGGCAGCAGGAUGCAGGCCAUCAAAAAGACUCACCUAAUGUUGCUGACUCCAAGUAUUCAUAUGGUGUGAUCAGCUUGAAGCAAUUGAAAGAAGUUUUGGUGCUUGCAAUGAAGCCUUAAGCAAUUUUCAAGUUGGAGAUAUGCAUUAGUUUUAUUGGAAUUUUGUCAGUUUUGCCAAAGCACAGAUUGUGGUGGCUUUGCUGGUGUUGAGAAAAUGUGAGGAAUGGGAGAUGCUAUAGUUUUUUUUUUUUUUUUUUUUGCAUCAUGCUGGUGUAUUGACCAGUUUCUUGAUUUGGUUUUUAAGUUUAUUUACUCUUUCGGAUGUUUCGAUUAUACAAUGUACUUCUCUAUCAUAUUAUCAAUGAUUAUAUGAAUGAUUUUUAAUGUCAUCAUCUUAACGUACUACUCAUGAGAAAUUUAAAUUAAGUGUACUCUUAGACAAAAAUUUAAUUUUAUAGAUGUCACGAGUCUUGAAAGCUUUACUAUAAAAUUUUGUGUGAUGCUUCACUUGAUUCGUUUUAUUAUGGCGGACACAAGGCUUCUUAUCAAGCCGAACAUCACUUCAUGUGGUUUUAAACUGUUUGAUCUUAAUCGAGCGGCUGCAUAUGACCGACUAUAUAAAUACGAGAAAGUUUUGACUGCACAAGAACGUGAUCCCCGAUAAAGGUGGGCAAUUAGAUUCUGCGGCAGAAAUCAGUAAUCAACAAGAGGAAUGAUAUUUUGACACAAAUAUUUUUAUUUACCAUGAUCUACAACAUCCAUGAUUGACAUAUAAAUGGUGUUCCUUGAUCAAGGAGCAUAUGAGCUACAAGGAUCAAGGAGCCAUGGUUAAGGGAUCCCUCCGAGUAUCGAUAUAGAUUCGU